GGGUAUGUUAAUAGCAUAUUCAUUUGACGUUAGCUGCAGAAGAAGUCACCGGCUAACUCCGUGCCAGCAGCCGCGGUAAUACGGAGGGUGCGAGCGUUAAUCGGAAUUACUGGGCGUAAAGCGCAUGCAGGUGGUUUGUUAAGUCAGAUGUGAAAGCCCGGGGCUCAACCUCGGAAUUGUCAUUUGAAACUGGCAAACUAGAGUACUGUAGAGGGGGUAGAAUUUCAGGUGUAGCGGUGAAAUGCGUAGAGAUCUGAAGGAAUACCGGUGGCGAAGGCGGCCCCCUGGACAGAUACUGACACUCAGAUGCGAAAGCGUGGGGAGCAAACAGGAUUAGAUACCCUGGUAG
rnacentral:rRNA from 1 species